CCUGGUGUAUGUCCAUGGUUCUUGGGACAUGAACGACUGUUUGUCCAGCCACACUGAUCAUCGACCAGGUUUUAAAAAUCAGGAGUGAUGGAGAGCCCUCCGGAAGGAGAAGACGAUGUGGCAGUGCGGGAGACAUAAAAGAAAGCCCGAUGCACAGGACGGUCACGAAGAGCUGGGGAAUGUUUGGGCAUAAAAGGAGGCCGCACGUCUUUGAAGGAUGGACAAACCGAGGCUCAGAGGAUCGUACUGGAAGAUCGACAUUGUCUCAAGACCUUGCCAUGAACAAAUGUUGGAAUUCGGAUUUCUACUUCUUUUUUUGAAAAACAGUACAAUAUUUGGUCUCCCGUGAGAACUGUGCUCGCUUGGUUCUGUAAAUGCUCAUAGCUUUGUCCUUCCUGAGCUCCACGACAAUCGCAUGCGGGGGGAAGGUACACCUAUUAUUCAUUCUCUAGACUGAGGACAAUUUAGUUAUCUUCCUGAUGAGGGAAAUUGAAGCUCUCCUAUUAUUCCUAAAGCCUACAUUAAAUUAAUUUCCCUGAAGAGUCCUACUGCUUAAUGGAAAAUUGCAAGAGUGGCCAGGCUUGAAAGGGGGAUCCAUGGAGCCCCCAGCUUGUGGAUCACUGACUCCCAGCUGAGAGUAAUGAAUGCCUCUCCUCACGACAGCAGUGCCUUUUUGUAUUUUCUGAAGUCUGAGCGUCUUCAACGAAUCUUCAUUGGAUGGACGUUCUUCCCUCCAGACAACAGUAUCUUUGACACAGGACACCCUUGGGAAUCCAAAGUCCUCUGUCCAAGUCACACGGAUGGGUGGGCAGGGGCCCUGCUGGGUACAAUAGCGUCUCCUCCUUCUCUCUGACAUGCUGGUUUGACAGUGGACCAUGUGUGCUGUUCUGCCAGGGCCACUCAGUCAUUUAUUCCACAGGCGUUUGCCGAGGCUGACUAUGUGCCAACCUGCCUCAUGACAGGGGGACCACGGCGACUAGAACAAGCUCUGCGUCUCACGGAGUCUACGUUCUAGUGUGGGAGCCACACGAGGAACUCACACGCAAGCCAGCGAGUGCGUGGUCCUGCCAGCCACGGCUCGGUGUUCUGCGACAAGCACAGCAAAGUAAAAGACAGAGAGUAAGAGCAAGGCCCGCGAAGGGCCUUCCCGAGGAAGUGCCACCCAGCUGCCCUGAGUGAAGAUCCGGCGGGCAGGGAGCAGGGCUGUGGGGGAGACUGAGCCCGCUCCCAUGAAGGACAGAUGGCCCAGAGCGCCGAACACCACCAGGAGCUGGGGACGGAGGGGUUCUGAGGUAGCCGGGGGCGCCCACGGUGAGGCAUGGACGCUCUGGACUCUCCCCUCGGUGGGAGCCGUGGAGGGAGCCGUGGAGGGCCAAGAGCAGCACAGUGACAUGAUGGGGUUUGUGUUUAAAGGGUCAUUGACUUAAGCAGAGGAUCCCCAUGGGGAGGUGGCCGGCCAGGCAGGAUGGUAACUUGGAUGGAGUGGGGAGGAUGGGGCCAGGACAUGGCCAGACUCGGGAUCUAUUCUGAAGGUUUUGCAGGCGGCAUCUGUAAGGGACUGGAAGUCAGGAAUGAUUCCGGGCUUUUGACCUGUACAUGGUGGAGGGACUUCCCAUUAGUGGAGCUGGAGCACUCUGGGUGGGUGGGGGAGAAGCAGAGAGGAUCAGAGGGUGGUGGGAAUCAGGGCUUUGAUUUUCUGCAUCUGGUUUGAUAAAUCUCAGACAUCCAGUGGAAAUGACCAGGGGGCGAGAGGGAAGUUGGGGCCUGAGAUGAAAGCUGAGACUCAGCCGUGGAGAGAUAGCAUGUGAAGUCCUGGACUGGAUGGACUUACCUGGGACAUUGGUGGAGACAGAGAGAGAAGAGGCUGAGGCCCAAGCUCUGAGGCCUGCAGCGCUUAGAGGCAGGGAGAAGAGAAGGAUCCAGCAGAGGAGAUAAGAAGGGGCAGCUGGUCUGAGCAGCCAUGGAAUCCUGCAGUGUAGUCGGACCUCAGUCUACCUGGGACUGUUGUCGCUGGGAUGGUGCACAGUUCCUUCUGUCUUCUCCUUCUCUUAAUGGAAGCACUGCCAUUUCUUAGAAGGUGAAAGUGGAUUUGCCUUCUAAUUUAAGAGUUUUAAACUGGGGGCUUGUGGGUGUGUGGAUGGGGAUUAGAACCUCUGAAAACGCCCUGCGUGGAAUGUGCACUUAUCUGGAUAGAGGGUGCCUAGUUUCCAAAGGAUUCUUAAGGCAAGGCUAGGGGAUAUUUCUCAAUAAUUUCUAAAUAAAAAAGAAACUAAAGUAAUACAUUUUUAGACUUAUCAAACACAGGGAGAGAACAAAUCCUUUCACCCAGAUUUAAACUUACAGAAACUUGGCAAAGUAAAAAUGAAUAAGGAAUCCAAGUACCUUAAAAAUAUCCCCACUGGGGAAGGCAAAAGUCAACCCCUGAAGCAGAGAAAUGCAAACCAGCCAGUGUGCAAAGGGCACUUUCCACCACAUAUCAGUGCACAUCACUCACUGCUGGUGGGAGAGUUGGAUGAUUGCCAAGUAACUUAUACGAAGGACCAAGCUGCGUCAAUAGUGAGAUCUCAAAUUGAAUAAGAUCGUGUGAGCAAAAAUAAUGGAAUCAUUUCUUACUGAGAAGACUCUGGAAGGGAUCUUAUGGACUUUGUUCUAUAGCUACUACAUUCCUCUUUAAUAUCAUCAUCAGGGCUGAGACUGGAGGGGCAGACGAUUGUUAGUUAGGGUUCCUUAGAAACAAAGCCUGACUUGUGUUUUGGAUUGCUAUUUGGCUUGUAUGCAUUCACACAUUUAAUACUUCAAAAGAGACAAAGAUUAUGGGAGAUAUUUUUAGAACCAGAUUCAACCAAUAUGUGUUUUCCUGUUGGAAAGUGCUCUUGAUCAUGCCAAGUCUACUUGUAUGAUUUUUUUUUUUUUCCCACUGCAGGGCAUAGAGAAUGUUUAUAGUUCCUUUUGUACUAAAACAUCAUGAUUACAAGUAAUCGCAGUGCAGUGGGGUAGCAGUGCCCGUUUCAAAAUGGUCCUUACCUUCAGGACACAGAGAGUACCUCCUAGUUUCCUAACAGAGCAAAAAAAAAGAAAGAAAAAAGAAAAGAAAAAAACAAACAAACAGCCAAGUCUACUGCACAAGGGGUAACCAGAAAGUCUAGCUCCCUUCAAAAAUGUUAUUUCAAAAGAAAUGAGGUUGGCCGAGCUUGGGAAAGGCCUUCUUUCUGGACCUGAAAGAGAAUAUGGUGUCUUGCGAGCUCCCCAGCAGGCCCCAAGGGGAACACUUGAGCAGGACAGACAGCAGCGCCUGGAGACUUUUUCCCACCUUGGUUCCCUCCGUUUAGUUGGGAUGCCGCUGAUCUACAAGCUGUGGUGUACUGAGAUGCUUCCGGGCCCUGAAUAUUUAGUGGACACAAACUGACUUGCUGUGAAUAGGAACUUGGUCAAAGUCAGUUUUAGUUUGCAGAAAGCAAAGGCUCCUUAGAUCUAGAAGUGUCACAUUUUGGACUAACUUCGGCCAGUUGGUAAGAUUCUAGAAAAGGGAAUCCUUCAUUAAGGGAAUUGUUUAAAAAGCUCUUGAGAUUUUCUGACUCCAUUUAAAAUCAUAUUGCAGAGUAGAAAUUUAAAUUUAGAAAAAUGUUCUUGGGCUAUUUUCCCAGGUACAUUACUUCUUUACUGUAAGAUCAGUCUUAGGGCUUCCCAGCCUCUGCCUGCAAAGGGCUAGUGAUAAAUAUCUCAAAAUAGCCUAAAGAAGUAAGAGACACUGGCUGUUGAAACAGACUUAAAAUUACUCUGUUUUAGCCUCUCUAAAUGUGCACUCUGAGAUGUCCCACGACCCACACCAAAAUUUCUCUGGAGAUCUCAUACAUGUAAGCCUCAGAAGGAUAUAAGGGUUUCUUUGUUUAAUACAUCUUCAGUUUUGAAAAUAACAUUUUUAAGCAUGCAACCAUUUCACAGAGUUUUUGAACUUUGUAUUUAAGCCCGAUGUUUCUCAGAUGUAGUCAGGCCAUAGAAAUUAGGUGUUGUUCUUCUGGUACGAUGGGCAGGGGAAGCCACUGUCACCAUGGGAAUGCACCCAUGGAGGUGACUUCCAGGAUGGUGAGUGGGCUGUGACAGUCCUGGUGUCUUUCUCACCUGGGCCUGUGGGAUAACUACAUCCCACGCCUGUGAGGAGUCCAGAGACCAUCCCCCCAGCCCACGGGGUCUCAUCAGACAGGUGAAAGCCAGGACCUCCCUGGGACCACACUUGGUUGGGGGUCCUGCUCACCACAGGCACCAGGCAGCUGCUUCCGCAGGAGCAUCCUCCUGUGCUCCUGCAUGUCUGGUGACCCCUCAGAGCCCUUUACAAACAUGCUAUCUUCAUGCGAUGCUUGUAAAAAACCUGCAAGGUGGACUUUAUUGAGCGUUUUGGAUGAAGUUGAGUUUUAGAGUUUAUGUAACUUGCCCAAGGCCACAAAGCAACUAGUCAGUGGUGGAAAAGAAACUUCAAACACAGUCCUGCGGGUUCUCACUCCUGUGUUGUCACCACUGUGCCAGCGUAUCCAUCAUCAGGCCUUUGCAGCCACCUGGGGAGCAGAGGCUGCUCUACAGGUGAGGAAACCGAGUCUAAGUGGCUUGCUCCAGGCUUCAAGGCUCCUGAGUCAUGGGCCCAGUGUUGCCCCCAGAUCCUGUGACUCUGAUGUCCCGGGUCUCACUUGUGGCUUUCCUGACUUAACUGCGACACCUGAGUGAUGUCAAGUACAUAUAACACAGUCAAAAGCAAACAGACAAAUAAAACCCUUACCUAACACACUGGUGCUCAGUAUUACCACUUUUCAUUUUAUUCCCUUAGAUAUCAUUGAAAGGAAGUUUCAAAGUACACAUGUAGCAGGUGAAAGAAGCCACUGUCUUGCUCAGAGAUCUGAAACCUGAUGACAUCUGCACCUUCUCUUUUGAGUUAUCAGAUAUUAUUUGGGAGGUGUAGAUGACAAAUCUCAGGUAGGUGACAGUCAGAAAAAUCAGGCAAUUCCCUAAUUCUAUACUAGCAAAACAACAAAAAUGUUUUUUUUUUUUUAAUCUCCAGAGAACAUGGUACUAUCUAUGUAGUCAGUUUGCUUUUGUGCAAAAUUUUCUCCUUAUUACAAAGAACCCACCAUUGCCAUAUAGGAAGCACCAUAUUGUCUGAGGAGUUUUCAAAUAUACGUUUAUUUGCAGGGGUAGAAACUAGUCAUCCUUCAUGUGUUGUUUCUCUUUAAAAUGAAAGUUUGAGUAUCAGAAGCCAUACUAGCACUUUACAUAGAUUACCCCUGAUGCUUACCAAAUUCCUGCAGGUAGGGGCAUCGCUUUACAGCUGACUGAGGCUCAGAGAGGUCAAACAACUUGCUGAAGGCAGCACAGCUGCUAAGUGAGAGCUGGAAAUGAAGACUGAUGUUUUAAUUCCAAGUCAAAUUAGGGGUCUUGGCUAAGUAGCUGGGUUUUCUCACUGCUCCUACACCAGGCAAUUUUCAUGUGUAUGACUGUGAGAGACCAGGCCUGCUGCUGUGUGUCCUAGCAGAACCGGGGAGAAGCCAUCCCAGCCCAAAUUCUCUAGGGCGCCAGCAGGCCACGGUUUUUCACUUGAUCUUAGCCAAAAGGCCGAGAAGCGAUAGGCCACGGUUUUUCUAACCAAUAGUAUCAUGGCCUUUGGUGUCUCCUUUGAUCACAUCGCAGAAGCCAGACCACAGCUGGUGGGUGAGAGUGAGCAUCACGGUCUGGAGGGAAACUUGCCUUCAUCUGUGGAUGUCCACUCCUUGCUGGUCUUUUUAUAUUAUACAGGAAAUAUUAUACAGGAAAGUUCACUUGUCCUACCUGAUCAUGCAUCUCCGUUUAUCCUAAGAAAUGCUUGCAGAAACUAAGCAGUGGUGUCUAAAUGCUAAAUUUCGUGCACUGAGCCGGUAAUAAGGUAAAGUGAAUAACGCACCCAUUUUCAACGUCAGCAUUUGCCUUUGGAAACUUGCACCUUAAAUAACCAGGGAUGACAGAUAAUCUUGAGGCCACAGCUCAGUGAACGAGGGACACAUUUCACUUCACUUUCAUGUGGAAACUGUGCUUUGCUUUGCUACAGAACUGAGCUACUUUAGGCUGUGCAUUUCUGGGCAGUUGUAUCUUUUCUCGAGUGUGCAAAGUGACUGUUCUGUCCUUAUGCAGUUUUCUGAGCUGAGUUUCAAACGCCCCAAGCUCCCCCUCGCCCGCGUGCCCAGGAAGCCGUGGUCUGAGGCUAAUGGCCUUACACCUGCUCUUCUCUGUGGGCACCUUUUGCUUUCUCAGUUGAAUAAA